AAUCAACAACAACAUAAAACAAUCACAGAUGUUGUUUUUCAAACUUUUCACAAUUCUCAACAAAUUCAUUUCUUUUCUGCUGAUAAAUAACAAAGCCAAACAUUGACAAAAUACUGAACUUUGUCAAUAGGAAAUUUUUCUUUUUGGAAAUUAGACAAAAAAGCUGAUCAAAAGAAAAAACAUUUGUGGAUCAAGAUGGCAUUUCAUAUCUGUAUACAGAAAAAAAUGGGAAAAAACGCUAAUUCAUCGAUCGAAUCAAUUAAGCAAUCGAAAAAAACAAAAAUUUUUCAUCAUCAAUGAUUGAUUGAUUGGAUUAUCAUCAUCAAAGAAGAUUCAGAAACAAUUGGCAACAUUUCGUCAAUCGUCAUUGAAAUGAAUUUUUUACGCUUUGUCUAGUAAAUGUUAAUCGAUUUUUAAUUGACAAUAAAAAAAAUUAAAUUGAAUAAAAUGAUUAUUUAGCCAAUUUGGAUCAUCAUCAUCAUAAUCAUCAUCGGUAACACACGAAUUUCAAUAACAAAAGGCCAUAUAUAUAUUAUAUUGCAAAAGGAAUGACAAUGAAAAAGAAACAUGAAAACCCAACAUCAACAUUGCUUUCAACCAUAAUGAUCAUUAUCAACACAGACACUGACAAAGACAGUCAGUUCUAAUUUAUUUUUGGAAAUUUUUUUCUUUUCGGAUCACGACCCAAUCAACUAUUAUACUGGAUUAUUAUUAUUAUUAUUCAUUCUCAUCUUCAUUAUUAUUAAAGGAUAGAAUAUUUAUCCUUGAAACAUUUUACUAUUAUUGUUAUAUUAACACUAUAUGAAUAUUUGUAAAAUUCAAUGAUAGAGUGAAAGCAAAAA